CCGUAAAAACAAAACUGAAAAGGUUUUAAAUAAAGAACAGUUUUAACAGAUUAAAAAUGUUUAAAAAAAAUAAUAUCUGUUUUAUAAUUUUUUUUAUUUUGUUAAAGUUUAAUUAAAAGCUUUUUGUUUUUGUUGGUGUGGAAUUUCAUGAGUUUCUACUGAUCGACUGCCGAUGACGUGUUCAUUAGAAUGCAUCUUUAUCGAGACGAUUCACCCCAUUAACCAUCGGAUAAUUUAUCAAACCACCAUUAAUCUCCACGAAAAGAACGAUUGAGACGUCCUGGAUUCAGCGUUGCGAUAACUAUCUCUCGGUAAUUAAGUCAGACAUGACAUUCAUUAAUUCUCUUGUAAAUUUUGUGUUCGAUUUCCACGUAAUAUAAAAAGACAUGUAAUAAAAAUUUACAUAUGUUAAUA